UACGUAGGGCGCAAGCGUUGUCCGGAAUUAUUGGGCGUAAAGAGCUCGUAGGCGGUCUGUCGCGUCUGCCGUGAAAACCCGAGGCUUAACCUCGGGCUGGCGGUGGAUACGGACAGACUAGAGGUAGGUAGGGGAGAAUGGAAUUCCCGGUGUAGCGGUGAAAUGCGCAGAUAUCAGGAGGAACACCGGUGGCGAAGGCGGGUCUCUGGGCCGAUACUGACGCUGAGGAGCGAAAGCGUGGGGAGCGAACAGG
rnacentral:rRNA from 1 species